UCUUCGUUUUCACCUUCUUCAUCAUCAUCAGCAGCAUCCACCUAUAAAUAAAUAGUUAAACAACAAAGACAGAAUAUCCAUGAAGUAUACAAGAUAAAAAGUAACUGCUUUAUUCUAGAGAUUUACGAAUUAAGAGGGAAUUUUGGCAGUAGCCAAGACAGCUGUUGCGCAUGGCAAUCACCACAGUUACCAUGAACCUCUUGGUAGGCAAAGUGUCAUCUAGUCAUCCACCAGCAAUAGGCUAAGACACGAUGGCACCUUUACUUCAUUUGAAUCUUCAAAGAACGCCCAGGAUACUCAAAGACCAUUGUUGAAUUCUCAGGGAUUCAUAGUAUUUUGACCACCAAUCCAGCUCCUCAGGGUCUGGCCUUUCUUCCUCCAGCUCUUCUUCCUUUACCGAAACUUUGCCGAAACUCUUAAAUGGUUCCUAAAGCACAGGGAUACAAUUUGAAUGCAAUAUACAAUACAGGGAGCACCACUGAUGGUAACCCUUAUAUACACUUAAAGGGACAGUAAAUAUUUCAUGUGUAUGGUUACCUGAACCAGAAGCAAUUUCUGAGAUGCAAAUUCAGUUUUUCAGAGGACAUUAUCUAUAUUUACAUGCAAUUUUUUGACUGGUGCGGCUCCCACAAAAAUUAAACAUUCCUUUGGAGCAAACUUCAUAAGAUUAGACACAACUGCAGACCCGACCAUGACAGAACGGCCAAAUGCUCGUUUCUCCACUACGAAAAUACUCAAAGGUGGAUGGAGCCAACAGGCUGCUUAUUUCUGCACUGGGUGAAAGAGGAGAUGAGAGGACUUUACUUGAGAUGUGCCUGUGAUGACAAUGGCUAGAGAGUAGUUUCUUGUGCAAGAAAGAGACUAUGAAGACAAGACAGUGGCACAAGAUGGAUGGCACAGCAUUUACAUCUACAUUAUGGGAAAUUGAACUUGAACCAUUUAUUGGUUGGAUACAUACAUUACGCAAUAUUCCAAGACUUUAUUGAACUAGACUUUACAGACAAGUACAGAAGUUAAAGGAAAUCUCACAAUGAUCCAGAGUAUGAUCAAGAUGGUAUAUGAUGGAUAUCCUGUUUAAAUCCAGCAAAUUAGUUCUCGGAAAUAAAAGGGUGUCUCAUAGGAAUCCUACACCUCGUAGGAUAUUAUUUAUUAUUAUUAUUUAUUAACAGUUUCUUAUAUAGCGCAGCAAAUUCCGUUGCGCUUUACAAUUUGAAAUAACAAUAACAAAAUGGGUGAAAACAAAC